CAGCCGCCACGGUAAUACGUAGGUGGCAAGCGUUGUCCGGAAUUAUUGGGCGUAAAGCGCGCGCAGGUGGUUUAAUAAGUCUGAUGUGGAAGCCCACGGCUCAACCGUGGAGGGUCAUUGGAAACUGUUAAACUUGAGUGCAGGAGAGAAAAGUGGAAUUCCUAGUGUAGCGGUGAAAUGCGUAGAGAUUAGGAGGAACACCAGUGGCGAAGGCGGCUUUUUGGCCUGUAACUGACACUGAGGCGCGAAAGCGUGGGGAGCAAACAGGAUUAGAUACCCCAGUAGUCCCUGUCUCUUAUAC
rnacentral:rRNA from 1 species